UAGUUUCAUUUUUCUUUCUUGUGC
rnacentral:siRNA from 1 species